CCUACGGGAGGCAGCAGUGGGGAAUAUUGCACAAUGGGGGAAACCCUGAUGCAGCGACGCCGCGUGAGUGAAGAAGUAUUUCGGUAUGUAAAGCCCUAUCAGCAGGGAAGAAAAUGACGGUACCUGAUUAAGAAGCCCCGGCCAACUACGUGCCAGCAGCCGCGGUAAUACGUAGGGGGCAAGCGUUAUCCGGAUUUACUGGGUGUAAAGGGAGCGUAGACGGCAGCAGAAGUCUGGAGUGAAAUGCCGGGGCUUAACCCCGGAACUGCUUUGGAAACUGUGCAGCGAGAGGGCAGGAGAGGUAAGUGGAAGUCCUAGUGUAGCGGUGAAAUGCGUAGAUAGUAGGAGGAACACCAGUGGCGAAGGCGGCUUACUGGACUGUAACUGACGUUGAGGCUCGAAAGCGUGGGGAGCGAACAGGAUUAGAUACCCGUGUAGUC
rnacentral:rRNA from 1 species